UCAUUGCUGGAACAACUCUCCCUGAGAGAGUAAUCCCAGAAACCCUUUUGUGAACAAUACCUAAUUCGUUGCCUCGGCAUUGGUUGGCGUCUCUCGCGGCGCCCCCUUUUCCCUCUCGCUUCUGUAGUGGUUAAAAAGGGAAGCAAACCGGCCGGUGGCCCUUAUAAACUCUUGUAUGGUAACGUCUUCUGAGUAUACAAACAAAAUAAAUCAAAACUUUCAACAACGGAUCUCUUGGUUCUGGCAUCGAUGAAGAACGCAGCGAAAUGCGAUAAGUAAUGUGAAUUGCAGAAUUCAGUGAAUCAUCGAAUCUUUGAACGCACAUUGCGCCCGGUGGUAUUCCACCGGGCAUGCCUGUUCGAGCGUCAUUUCAACCCCUCAAAGCCUGAGCUUUGGUGUUGGAGGAAUACUCUGUUACAAGAGUACCCUCUAAAAUUUAACGGCGGGCUCGCUAGAAUUUGGAGCGUAGUAAUUUUACCUCGUUUUUAAGGACUAGUGGGACUCUCUCUUGCCGUAAAACCCCCCAAAUUUUGA
rnacentral:rRNA from 1 species